AAGUCGUAACAAGGUUUCCGUAGGUGAACCUGCGGAAGGAUCAUUAACACGUAUCCAAACGUUAAACCCCCCUGUGAACCUUCACCUGUACUCGUACGUCCGUUAGAAAAAGCAGCAAUCCCUGGUAAAUCAUCGCCGAACAGUUUUCGAUUCAGGGAUGUCUGCAAGGAGCGUGCAUGUUGUGCGAGCAAGUGGCCUGGCAUCCCCAAGCAGUUAGUGUCUGAAAGUGUCAUUAACUGUGUAAGGAUGACGAUCGUUGGAGGCCCACACGGCCGACGACCGGGUCACUGGGCGCAAGCCCCCCUAUAACAAACGCUGCUAAUCGCGGCCGCGAUAAUACGCAGUCGACCAAAAACCGAACAACUGUUAACAAUG
rnacentral:misc_RNA from 1 species